rnacentral:rRNA from 1 species
GUGCCAGCCGCCGCGGUAAUACGUAGGGGGCAAGCGUUAUCCGGAUUUACUGGGUGUAAAGGGAGCGUAGACGGCUAUGCAAGUCUGGUGUGAAAACCCGGGGCUCAACCCCGGGACUGCAUUGGAAACUGUGUGGCUUGAGUGUCGGAGAGGUAAGUGGAAUUCCUAGUGUAGCGGUGAAAUGCGUAGAUGUUAGGAGGAACACCAGUGGCGAAGGCGGCUUACUGGACGAUGACUGACGUUGAGGCUCGAAAGCGUGGGGAGCAAACAGGAUUAGAUACCCUGGUAGUCCACGCCGUAAACGAUGUAUACUAGGUGUCGGGUGGCAAAGCCAUCCGGUGCCGCAGCAAACGCAAUAAGUAUACCACCUGGGGAGUACGUUCGCAAGAAUGAAACUCAAAGGAAUUGGCGG